UGUCCAAAAUUAUUUCGUACGGUCCUAAUUGCUAACGCAAAAGAUGAUAUAUAGCCAUGAUGAAUGAAAGAUUUGAUGUCUGCACUUGCUGAUUGGAUAAUUUCAUACAUACACAAACUCAAAAGGUGAAUAGGAACCAGCAAGACAUACUCAGCAAGUUAGAGAUGUCAAAUUCACAUUGUAACACACGAAAAUGUCUGGAGAAGUGCUUAAAGGAGUAGUUGAUUACGGUACUAGACACAUAUGCAUUAGUCUGCAUGUGAAGAUAAACACCACAGCAGAUUAUUUAUUGAUAUCUAGUGAAAUACGAACAAGCAUCUUCUUGACCAGUUACUUGGACGAUUCUAGCUCCUUCAGAAAAUCCUUAUUGUCAACCAGCACUGUUUUCCAGCCAUCUGGAUCCAGAAAUGAAGUUAUCUUGGUGUUAAGUCCAGGAAUUGAUCCUGGCUGUCUAGUUAUCUUUCCUCCGAGCUCUUGGAUAGCAAGAUUGACAACCUUCGCGCUUUUGUAGACAUCAUCAGUGCCUAUUGCAAUCUGUGCGUAUGCAUUUCCCUUUGUGUAUUCAGUCACACCAUAGUUGUAUGUCAACUCAAUAACAGUCGUCUCUUUCUCUGGAGCAUAUCCCAUCAUAGCAAUGGUAUACUUAUGCUCUGGUCUAUCAACUUUCUUCACCACUUGCAUCCCAAGUGCCUUUUCGUAGAAUUUGAUCGCACGUUCAAGAUCCCCCACACGAAGCAUCACUUGGCAAAGUGGUUCAGGAGUAGACUCUCUCUGGAUGAUUUCAAAUAGGUAGCCAUCAGGAUCUUUGACAAAAGCAAUAACACUAGAUCCACCCUUGACAGGACCAGGCUCCCUUGUGACAGUUCCACCCUUGGCCUUUAUCUCCUCAACCAGUUUGUAAACAUCUGGUGUGGCAAUAGCAAAAUGCCCAAAGCCGGUUCCGAUGUCAUACUUAUCAACUCCAUAAUUAUAUGUCAACUCAACCACAAAGUGAGACUCUUCAGGGCCAAAACCAAGAAAAGCAUUCGAAUACUUCUCCUCUGGAAUAUCUCUCUGCCUCAACAAUUUCAUCCCAAAACAUUCUGUGUAAAACUUGAUGGUACGUUCAAGGUCACCGACACGAUAUACAGCAUGCAACAUUCUGCGCUUAUCUUUCUUUGGCCACUCCAACAACUCAGUACUUGGUACAGCUGGUGCACUUGCUUCCGCCAUGUUCUACAGAUUGAGAGAGAGUGAGAUCAGUCGUGGUAAAG
rnacentral:misc_RNA from 1 species